UAGCAUAAUCACUUGUGUUUUAAUUGAAUGCUGGCAUGAAAGAUUUAACCCUAAGCUUCUUUUUUAAUGAAAAGAGUAUAAUUUGCGGUUUAAGUAAAAAUUCUUAGAUAAAUCAGAGGGACGAUAAGACCCUAAAAGCUUAAGCUUUAUUUAGUUUUUUUAGUUCUAUUAGGUUAAGGUUAAUGUGUAAGGAUUUACUGGGGAAGUGGCAUUAAAUAAAUUAAUGUUUUAGUUUACUUUAAGGUUUAAAGAGCCUUAAAAUUAGGAUUAGUUGAAAAAGUUACUUUAGGGAUAACAGCAUAAUAGGUUCAGAGAGAUCUUAUUGAUGAAGUUGAUUGUGACCUCGAUGUUGAAUUAGAAGUGCGUAAAGAGGUAAAAGGUUUUAUAGCGGGUUUGUUCAACCUUUAAUUUUCU
rnacentral:rRNA from 1 species